AGAGUUUGAUCCUGGCUCAGAUUGAACGCUGGCGGCAUGCUUUACACAUGCAAGUCGAACGGCAGCAUAGAGAGCUUGCUCUCUGAUGGCGAGUGGCGAACGGGUGAGUAAUACAUCGGAACGUGUCCGUUUGUGGGGGACAACCACCCGAAAGGGUGGCUAAUACCGCAUAAGACCUGAGGGUGAAAGCCGGGGACCGCAAGGCCUGGCGCGAACGGAGCGGCCGAUGACUGAUUAGCUGGUUGGCGGGGUAAAGGCCCACCAAGGCGACGAUCAGUAGCUGGUCUGAGAGGACGACCAGCCACACUGGAACUGAGACACGGUCCAGACUCCUACGGGAGGCAGCAGUGGGGAAUUUUGGACAAUGGGGGCAACCCUGAUCCAGCCAUGCCGCGUGCGGGAAGAAGGCCUUCGGGUUGUAAACCGCUUUUGUCAGGGACGAAAAGGUGCGGGUUAAGAGCUAGCACUGAUGACGGUACCUGAAGAAUAAGCACCGGCUAACUACGUGCCAGCAGCCGCGGUAAUACGUAGGGUGCGAGCGUUAAUCGGAAUUACUGGGCGUAAAGCGUGCGCAGGCGGUUGGGUAAGACAGAUGUGAAAUCCCCGGGCUUAACCUGGGAACUGCAUUUGUGACUGUCCGACUGGAGUAUGUCAGAGGGGGGUGGAAUUCCAAGUGUAGCAGUGAAAUGCGUAGAUAUUUGGAAGAACACCGAUGGCGAAGGCAGCCCCCUGGGGCAAAACUGACGCUCAUGCACGAAAGCGUGGGGAGCAAACAGGAUUAGAUACCCUGGUAGUCCACGCCCUAAACGAUGUCUACUGGUUGUUGGAGGGUAAAACCUUCAGUAACGAAGCUAACGCGUGAAGUAGA
rnacentral:rRNA from 1 species